rnacentral:rRNA from 1 species
GACGAACGCUGGCGGCGUGCUUAACACAUGCAAGUCGAACGGAAAGGCCCUGCUUUUGUGGGGUGCUCGAGUGUCGAACGGGUGAGUAACACGUGAGUAACCUGCCCUUGACUUUGGGAUAACUUCAGGAAACUGGGGCUAAUACCGGAUAGGAGCUCCUGCUGCAUGGUGGGGGUUGGAAAGUUUCGGCGGUUGGGGAUGGACUCGCGGCUUAUCAGCUUGUUGGUGGGGUAGUGGCUUACCAAGGCUUUGACGGGUAGCCGGCCUGAGAGGGUGACCGGCCACAUUGGGACUGAGAUACGGCCCAGACUCCUACGGGAGGCAGCAGUGGGGAAUAUUGCACAAUGGGCGGAAGCCUGAUGCAGCAACGACGCGUGCGGGAUGACGGCCUUCGGGUUGUAAACCGCUUUCGCCUGUGACGAAGCGUGAGUGACGGUAAUGGGUAAAGAAGCACCGGCUAACUACGUG